rnacentral:rRNA from 1 species
GUCUAUAGCCAUAUCAGCCUGAAUGUAAACCAUCUCAUCUGAUCUCAGAAGCCAAGCAGGAUCAGAUCUGGUUAGUAUGGGAGAUUUCCAUAUUUUCACGCUGGAUGGGAGAUU